ensembl:miRNA gmo-mir-11224b gmo-mir-11224b
ACAAUUCAGUUGCAGAUAUCCGUAAUUCACAAAGUGGAUAUCCGUAACUGAAUUGUAGA